UACGUAGGGUGCAAGCGUUAAUCGGAAUUACUGGGCGUAAAGUGUGCGCAGGCGGCCGAGCAAGUCGAGUGUGAAAGCCCCGGGCUUAACUUGGGAAUUGCGCUCGAAACUACUUGGCUGGAGUGUGGCAGAGGAAGGUGGAGUUCCAGGUGUAGCGGUGAAAUGCGUAGAUAUCUGGAGGAACACCGGUGGCGAAGGCGGCAUCCUGGACCGAGAUUGACGCUGAGGCGCGAAAGCUAGGGGAGCAAACGGG
rnacentral:rRNA from 1 species